UUUCGGUUUGCAAUUCUAAUGUUAAUGUAGUAUAACUGUGACAUAUACAUGUUUUGUAAUUUGAAUAAAUCAAUCAAAUCA